rnacentral:lncRNA from 1 species
AGUAAUACUUCCCUGUAAUUAAGCUAUAUAUAUAUUAACUUCUGCAUAUUGCCUUACCAUCUUUGUAUACUUCUUACUCUGUAUAUAGUCAGAGCAUUGUCAAUAAUAUUAUUCAUUCGAUAACACAUUCAAUAUAAAAGACUCCAAAUAAUUCUCCUUCUAACUGCACUGAAACCUAAGGCUGGAUAAAAAAUCCAAACCCG